AACGAACGCUGGCGGCAGGCCUAACACAUGCAAGUCGAGCGCGCCCUUCGGGGUUAGCGGCGGACGGGUGAGUAACGCGUGGGAACGUGCCCUUUUCUACGGAAUAGCCUCGGGAAACUGAGAGUAAUACCGUAUACGCCCUUUGGGGGAAAGAUUUAUCGGAAAAGGAUCGGCCCGCGUUGGAUUAGGUAGUUGGUGGGGUAAUUGCCUACCAAGCCGACGAUCCAUAGCUGGUUUGAGAGGAUGAUCAGCCACACUGGGACUGAGACACGGCCCAGAAUCCUACGGGAGGCAGCAGUGGGGAAUCUUAGACAAUGGGGGCAACCCUGAUCUAGCCAGGCCGCGUGAGUGAUGAAGGCCUUAGGGUUGUAAAGCUCUUUCAGCUGGGAAGAUAAUGACGGUACCAGCAGAAGAAGCCCCGGCUAACUCCGUG
rnacentral:rRNA from 1 species